rnacentral:rRNA from 1 species
UACGUAGGGGGCGAGCGUUAUCCGGAUUCACUGGGUGUAAAGGGAGCGUAGACGGCCAUGCAAGCCAGGGGUGAAAGCCCGGGGCCCAACCCCGGGACUGCCCUUGGAACUGUGCGGCUAGAGUGCGGGAGGGGCAGGCGGAAUUCCUGGUGUAGCGGUGAAAUGCGUAGAUAUUAGGAGGAACACCAGUGGCGAAGGCGGCUUACUGGACGACUACUGACGCUGAGGCUCGAAAGCGUGGGGAGCAAACAGG